UGGGGAAUAUUGGACAAUGGGCGAAAGCCUGAUCCAGCCAUGCCGCGUGUGUGAAGAAGGCCUUUUGGUUGUAAAGCACUUUAAGCGAGGAGGAGGCUACUUAGAUUAAUACUCUAGGAUAGUGGACGUUACUCGCAGAAUAAGCACCGGCUAACUCUGUGCCAGCAGCCGCGGUAAUACAGAGGGUGCGAGCGUUAAUCGGAUUUACUGGGCGUAAAGCGUGCGUAGGCGGCUUCUUAAGUCGGAUGUGAAAUCCCUGAGCUCAACUUAGGAAUUGCAUUCGAUACUGGGAAGCUAGAGUAUGGGAGAGGAUGGUAGAAUUCCAGGUGUAGCGGUGAAAUGCGUAGAGAUCUGGAGGAAUACCGAUGGCGAAGGCAGCCAUCUGGCCUAAUACUGACGCUGAGGUACGAAAGCAUGGGGAGCAAACAGG
rnacentral:rRNA from 1 species